AAGGCUUGACCUCAAACAGGUAGGACUACCCGCUGAACUUAAAGCAUAUCAAUUAAGCCGGAGGAAA
rnacentral:rRNA from 1 species